rnacentral:rRNA from 1 species
GGACCCAGGCCCUAUGGGGCGCAGCAGGCGAGAAAACUUUGCAAUGUGCGAAAGCACGACAAGGUUAAUCCGAGUGAUUUCUGCUAAAGAAAUCUUUUGCUAGUCAUAAAACCACUAGUGAAUAAGGGGUGGGCAAGUUCUGGUGUCAGCCGCCGCGGUAAAACCAGCACCUCAAGUGGUCAGGAUGAUUAUUGGGCCUAAAGCAUCCGUAGCCGGCUCUGUAAGUUUUCGGUUAAAUCUAUGCGCUCAACGUAUGGGCUGCCGAAAAUACUGUAGAGCUAGGGAGUGGGAGAGGUAGACGGUACUCGGUAGGAAGGGGUAAAAUCCUUUGAUCUAUCGAUGACCACCUGUGGCGAAGGCGGUCUACCAGAACACGUUCGACGGUGAGGGAUGAAAGCUGGGGGAGCAAACCGGAUUAGAUACCCGGGUAGUCCCAGCUGUAAACGAUGCAGACUCGAUGAUGCAUUGGCAUAUAGCCAGUGCAGUGUCGCAGGGAAGCCGUUAAGUCUGCCGCCUGGGAAGUACGUACGCAAGUAUGAAACUUAAAGGAAUUGGCGGGGGAGCACCACAAGGGGUGAAGCCUGCGGUUCAAUUGGAGUCAACGCCAGAAAUCUUACCCGGAGAGACAGCAGAAUGAAGGUCAAGCUGAAGACUUUACCAGACAAGCUGAGAGGUGGUGCAUGGCCGUCGCCAGCUCGUGCCGUGAGAUGUCCUGUUAAGUCAGGUAACGAGCGAGAUCCCUGCC